ensembl:lncRNA
UUCGGCUGUGCUGGGUCUUUGCUGCUGCAUGUGGGCCUUAUGUGGACUCUGGGAGUGGGGGCUCCUCUGUAGUUGUGAUGUGCGGGCUUCUCACUGAGGUGGCUUCUCUUAUUGCAAGAGCAUGGGCUCUAGGGUGAUCUCACCCUCAGCAUUCACUUGCGAUGCUCCUCCAUGGUCUCUGCUGCCUGCACUGCUGGCCAUCUGUUACAGUGGCAUCGUGCCAGCUUACAGGAUAGCUCGCCGGCUUCACAGAAGCCCCGGGGCCAAGAAAUGGUUUCAACAGGAAGCCCUUAUGUAACUCACAAGAGUGCCUGGAGAGAACUCCUGAUUGCCUCUUCUUUUCCCCACACAGCAAUGCUGAUGGUGAUUUCUGCUUCAUGACAUUUUAUUUCACCUGUUGAUUAAACU